rnacentral:snRNA from 1 species
GUGCUUGCUUCGGCAGCACAUAUACAAAAAUUGUAACAAUACAGAGAAGAUUAGCAUGGCCCCUGAGCAAGGAUGGCAUGCAAAUUCAUGAAGCAUUCCAUACUAGA